UAUACGUGAAGUUUUAUUUUCUGCCCUGGUAACGGACAACCGAGCUUGUCUCAGACGUAUUUGUGCACAUCCAUCUAGAAGGAGGGCAAGAAAAGAAAACAUGAAAUUAACAUGAAUCUGGAGCAUGAAGCAACCUGAGAUACUGUGCUGGAUCUGGGUCCUGGGGAGAAAACAAAGAGAUGAGAUGUACAGAAUCCGCUCUGGAGCUUCACCAGGUCUGUGUCGAUACCAGUGUAUAACAGCACUCCCGAAGUUCUGAAUGCCAGAGCCUCACAGACUAUACGUGCAGUUUUAGUUUUUGCCCUGGUAACGGACAACUGAGCUUGUCUCGGACGUAU